rnacentral:snRNA from 1 species
ACCAGCACUAAUGCACCGGAUCCCAU